GCCUACUCUAGUCCAAACCCCAAUCAUCACAACUACUACACAAGUCGUAAAACAAAACAUUUAUCCAAAAAAGUAUAGGAGAUAGAACAUUUUUAAGGCACUAUAGAGAUAGUACCGCAAGGGAAAGAUGAAAGAUAAAUUACACAGUAAAAAAAAGCAUAGAUUACCCCUACUACCUUUUGUAUAAUGAAUUAACUAGAACCAACUUGACAAAGUGAACUGAAGCCAACCACCCCGAAACCAAACGAGCUACUUCCAAACAGCUAACAGAGCAAACUCGUCUAUGUAGCAAAAUAGUGAGAAGAUUUCGAAGUAGAGGUGAAAAGCCAACCGAGUUUGGUGAUAACUGGUUAUCCAAAUAAGAAUUUAGUUCAGCUUUAAGUUUUCCCAAAACACCAGAAAGUCUAAUGAAAACUUAAAACUUAAUUUAAAGAGGGACAGCUCUUUAAAACAAGGGAACAACCUUCAACAGUGGGUAAGUAAAUCAAAAUACCAUAGUUGGCCUAAAAGCAGCCAUCAAUUAAGAAAGCGUUCAAGCUCAACAAUCCGCCAAACCCUAGAAUCUCUUCAAAACUAAACAAACCCCUGACCAACAAUUGGAUUAAUCUAUAAACACAUAGAAGAAAUAAUGUUAAUAUUAGUAACAAGAAAUAUUUCUCCCUGCACAAGCUUAAAUCAACCAUUCAAUUGAUUAUUAACAACCUAAUAAGACAAGAUCCAUCAUUAGUACUCUUAUUAGCUUUCCUUGUUAACCCAACACAGGAGUGCAUUCAGGAAAGACAAAAAAAAGCAAAAGGAACUCGGCAAACACAAAUCCCGCCUGUUUACCAAAAACAUCGCCUCUAGCAUAACUAGUAUUAGAGGCACUGCCUGCCCAGUGACAACCCAGUUCAACGGCCGCGGUAUCCUGACCGUGCAAAGGUAGCAUAAUCACUUGUUCUUUAAAUAAGGACUAGUAUGAACGGCUUAACGAGGAUUUAACUGUCUCUUGCCUUAUGUCUGUGAAAUUGACCUCCCCGUGAAGAGGCGGGGAUAACUUAACAAGACGAGAAGACCCUAUGGAGCUUUAAUUUAUUAAUUUAACUUAACCACUUUAAACCCACAAGGGCACAAAUACACACAAGCCUAAAUUAAUAAUUUCGGUUGGGGUGACCUCGGAGAAUAAUAAAACCUCCGAAUGAUAUUAACCUAGACACUACAAGUCAAAGUCCACAAUCAUCAAUUGACCCAAAAACCUUUUGAUCAACGGACCAAGUUACCCUAGGGAUAACAGCGCAAUCCUGUUUUAGAGUCCAUAUCGACAACAGGGUUUACGACCUCGAUGUUGGAUCAGGACAUCCUAAUGGUGCAGCCGCUAUUAAGGGUUCGUUUGUUCAACGAUUAACAGUCCUACGUGAUCUGAGUUCAGACCGGAGUAAUCCAGGUCGGUUUCUAUCUGUUUAAGACUUCUCCCAGUACGAAAGGACAAGAGAAGUGGGGCCAAUGGUCAAGCCAUGCCCUGAUAACUAAAAAAUGAUAUCAUAUUAAUUCUAUCAUUAUCCUAAAUUCACCCCUAAAACAGGGGUU
rnacentral:rRNA from 1 species